rnacentral:tRNA from 1 species
AGAGUUGUAUCUCAGUUGGUAGAGUGCUUGCCUCGAAUGCACAGAGCCCUGGGUUCAUCCCCCAGCACCACCA